GUGAAACAUUUUUUUCUAACCUCCCUUCUGUUUCUUUUAACAACUAACUUAAAUCGGGUCCUCGGGAGGUGGGAAAAGAAACUAUUAGCAGAGACAUAGUUGGUUAAGCAGGACUUGAACCAGGUGAUUGCAGUCCCACUGACAUGCAGUGGAGAGGUCUAGGAGGACAAGGUGGCAGAGAGACAGGAUGCCUGUUGUGACUUUGAUGAGCAUUGUCUCUGUGUUGUGGAUAGUGCGGAAGCCAGAUUAGAGGGGGAAUAACUUGGUUACUCAAUAACUUGAACUUGUAUAGCCUUGCACAUAGGAAAAUAUCUUAAAGAACUUCCCAGAAUGUGUGUGGGAGUCAGAGGCUAGGGGCUAAGCAGGCGGUGACAGAAGGCACAUUUAAAGAGAUAGGUUUGUAGCUGGAUUUUGAAAGCAUUGUGGAGAGAUGUUAGAUGGAGGGAUUUAGGGCGAGGGCUCCAGAGGCAGAAAGAAUAUAUCUCCCACCGAUUGUUGGGGGGGAAGAAUUGGGGAAUGUGGAGCAGGCCUAUGUUAGCAGAGUAGAGGGAGCGGGCUACAGGAGAUCACAGAGGUAAGGUGGGGCAAGCUUGGGUGGAAGGGUAUUUGAGAUUAGAAUGAGGAUCUGCCAGUGGAGCUUGGGGAGAAUGGGGUGAGGGGCUCACAGAGCAUGGAGUAAAGAGAAUGCAAGCUUCAGAGCUUGGGAUGAUUUGGAACUUGAAAGCUGGCAUGGGAGGUCAGGUCUGGAUGUGAUGGAUGAUGGUUUCGGCUGCAUUGGGAGUGAGAUAGGAACAGAGGAAUGGCCUUCUGCUAAGGAGAAUUUGGAAAAACACUUUGGAGAUACGUUUUAGUUGCCAUCCAUCACGUGGACAUCUUGCAGUCUGAACAUUGCUGGACAUUCAUGUGAAAACUGUUCCGAUCUACUGGUAAAUGAAGCACUAAACGGUUCACUUACAAAACUGAACACCGAAUCCACAAACGAUAAGCUGUUCGCCAUGACUAAG